AGGCCCACUCAAUACCCAUGACUUAAAAUGGGUUGAUUUAUUACCUUUUUCUUGUUGGAAUAAAAAGACAUGGACACAAUUUAAGAGCAGCCCCAUUGAGAGUUACAAAGGGGUUCAUGGGCUCAGGUUCAUAGGCCCGGAAGCAAAAAAAAAGAAAAAAUGGGUUUAAUUCCGCGACCCGCGUCCUACGAGUGACCCCGUAUGAAACGGGUUCACGCCAGGUGUCAGCCAUCCAUUGGAGACGCGUUAUUGAGUUCACGAGGAGGAAAGCGGAGAGAAAUCAUUUUCUCUCAUUUCUGAAAAAAAGGGUUUCGGUCCGAGAGGCAAUAUCUCGUGCGACGCCGACCUUUCUCCAAUUUUCUCCUUCGAAUCGAUGACGGAGUGUCUCAUCCACGAGCUCAGAUGGAUCCCGCAGAAGAGAGAAGAGAUAGAAAGAGGCAACAUGAGUACUUCAACAUGUUGGGAAACGUGGCCGAUUCACAAUACGGGAUUCCCAGAAGAUGUCCCUGUGGUGGGAGAAUCAUUGACGAGGUUUGGGUGAAGGAGGAGUACGAUACUCUUCCUGGGAAGCGCUUCUUCACCUGCAUAAACUACGAGGCUGAUGGGUUUCAUUAUCGUCAGCCUUGGGUGAUAGGUGUCCAGGAGGAGAUGGAACGCCUGCGUAAGCGUGUGGAGGAGGCUGACCAGGUGAUCUAGUGGGUGCCCAAUCUCAAUAAACAGAUUGAGAGUGUUGAGGCACAUGUUAAAAGGCUCACUUUGCUGCUUGAUAAUCUCACUAGUGACGUUUAUAACCUCAGUGUGCAGGUGGCUGAUCUUGAGAAGGUCUGCUUCGAAUGAAAUCCAAAAGGUCAAGGGUUGUACUUCUGCAGGUCACGGGUUCUACUUCUCUAUUGGCGCAGCACGUUCUAUUCUAUAGUUGAUGGGUUCUAGUUGUCACGGGUAGUAGCUGUCACAGGUUAUCAGUUUAUGUAUUUUCAUUUCGCGCCAGGUCACGGGUUCUAGUAGGAGGAUGGUGUAGUUGUCACGGGUUGUAGUAGUGACAACACGUUUUCAAGUACGUUUGCUUAUGUAUGUUUGUGUCACGGGUGUAAAAGUGUAGUAUUUUGUUUGUUUCUACACUUCACGGGUAUUGUAAGAGGAAGGACUAUAAAAUAUAUGUCGUAUGUCUCAUUUAUCAA